CUUCUCUGGUUUCUCUUCAGAUCAUAUAAAUCUUUUGCCUUCUACUAAAGAUUUCCGUGGAGAGGUGCACUCCAGAGUUUAAAUUAAUUUUUUAGUGGGACACCUGGUGCA